rnacentral:tRNA from 1 species
GGGGCGAUGGGUGAUUCGGCAGCAUCGCUCAUGACCUGUGAGCCGCUUGCGAUGCGUCCGCAAUGGGGGGCGUUCGGACGCGCGCCCGCCUCGC